rnacentral:rRNA from 1 species
AUUGAACGCUGGCGGCAGGCCUAACACAUGCAAGUCGAACGCGUGGCGGACGGGUGAGUAAUGUCUGGGAAACUGCCCGAUGGAGGGGGAUAACUACUGGAAACGGUAGCUAAUACCGCCUACCAUCGGAUGUGCCCAGAUGGGAUUAGCUUGUGGGUGAGGUAACGGCUCACCUAGGCGACGAUCCCGAGCUGGUCUGAGAGGAUGACCAGGCACACUGGACAUGAGGCACGGUCCAGACUCCUACGGGAGGCAGGAGUGGGGAAUAUUGGACAAGUGGAGCAAGCCUGAUGCAGCGACGCCGCGUGUAUGAAGAAGGCCGUCGGGUUGUAAAGUACUUUCAGCGGGGAGGCGUUACCCGCAGAAGAAGCACCGGCUAACUCCGUGCCAGCAGCCGCGGUAAUAC